rnacentral:tRNA from 1 species
GGGCUGCUGGCUCAAUGGGAGAGCACCUGGCUUGCAUCCAGGGGGGUAUCGGUUCGAAUCCGAUGCGGUCCA